rnacentral:rRNA from 1 species
AAAGAGAGAGAGAGAGAGACAGGGAGAGAGAGAGAGAGUGAGAGAGAGGGAGAGAGGGGAAAAAAAUUUAGUCACAUUGAUGCCUGGUCGCAACGAGUAAGAGGGUCGCAGUGGUUAGCGCUGAAGACUUUGGGCGUAGGCCCAGUCGGAGCUUCCACUGGUGCAGAUCUUGGUGGUAGUAGCAAAUAUUCAAGUGAGAUCCUUGAAGACUGAAGUGGAGAAGGGUUCCUCGUGAACAGCAGUUGGAUGCGGGUCAGUCGAUCCUAAGAUACUGGCUAAUGCCAUAUGUCAAUUGAGAAAUGGAGGCCAAAUCCAUCUCGGCAAUCGAAAGGGAAACGGGUUUAUAUUCCCGUACCUGGACACGGAGAUUAAGUAUCCAUUGCGGAUACUUAGCGCGGUAACGCAAACGAACUCGGAGACGUUGAGCAGAGCCCGAGCCAGAGUUCUCUUUUCUGGUUAAGGAACGGACUCCCUGGAAGCGGUUCAGCCGGCGAUAGGGACGUUGUUUCCGUAAAGCGUCACGGUUCCUGUGGCGUCUCGUGCACUCUGCUUGACCCUUGAAAAUCCGAGGGAGGCUAUUUGAAUUUCGUGCCAGAUCGUACCGAUAUCCGCAGCAGGUCUCCAAGGUGAACAGCCUCUAGUCGAUAGAAUAAUGUAGGUAAGGGAAGUCGGCAAAUUAGAUCCGUAACUUCGGGAAAAGGAUUGGCUCUAAGGACUGGGUCGGUCGGGCUGCAGCGUGAAGUGAGUGCGGUUUGAUCCGUGCAGUGCAACACGUGGCUUUUUUGGGCACGUGGGGCUCGGCUAGUGUUUGAACUGUCUUAUGGACCACUGCAGCUGUGCACCGUAUUACCUCACCGGUAUCGGUGCUUCGUCCGGCGCUAAACAGUCAACUUAGAACUGGCACGGACUCGGGGAAUCCGACUGUCUAAUUAAAACAGAGGAGACAGAUGGUCCUUGCGGGCGUUGACUGUCUCUGAUUUCUGCCCAGUGCUCUGAAUGUAAAAGUGAAGAAAUUCAACCAAGCGCGGGUAAACGGCGGGAGUAACUAUGACUCUCUUAAGGUAGCCAAAUGCCUCGUCGGAUAACUACCGACGCGCAUGAAUGGAUUAUCGAGAUUCCCACUGUCCCUAUCUACUAUCUAGCGAAAUCACAGCCAAGGGAACGGGCUUGGUAAACACAGCGGGGAAAGAAGACCCUGUUGAGCUUGACUCUAGUCCGACUCUGUGAAGAGUCAUGAGAGGUGUAGCAUAAGUGGGAGGCAUAGCCGCCAGUGAAAUACCACUACUUUCAUCGAUUCUUUACUUAUUCGGUAAGACGGGAAUUGAACUUGAAAAAUGGUUCUUGUUUCUGGUAUAAAGUGUAGCCGCUUGGUGGCCGCACGACUCGCGCCGAAGACAGUGUCAGGCGGGGAGUUUGACUGGGGCGGUACAUCUGUCAAAAAGUAACGCAGGUGUCCUAAGGCUAGCUCAGAGAGGACGGAAACCUCUCGUAGAGUAAAAGGGCAAAAGCUCGCUUGAUCUUGAUUUCCAGUACGAAUACAGACCGCGAAAGCGUGGCCUAUCGAUCCUUUUGAAUUAGAAGGUUUCUAGCAAGAGGUGUCAGAAAAGUUACCACAGGGAUAACUGGCUUGUGGCAGCCAAGCGUCCAUAGCGACGUUGCUUUUUGAUCCUUCGAUGUCGGCUCUUCCUAUCAUUGCGAAGCAGAAUUCGCCAAGCGUUGGAUUGUUCACCCACCAAUAGGG